rnacentral:lncRNA from 1 species
AUGAACUUCCUCUUAGAAUUUGGCUUCUACCUGUGCACAUUUAAUUUGAAGAUUUUUGAGAGCUUUCACUCGUCUUUUAGAUACCCUAGGCAAACUUCCAAUGUAUCCUGUUGGUGUUUCUACCAGACCAUCAAGUCUUUCUUGAAGGGCUGCAAGAAUCUGAGGAUUUUGCAUCAUCUAAACAGUCAGGUGACACGCUUUGAUUUUUGUUUCUUCACCAGUUUCUUCUACUUCUUCAACAUCAUCCAAAUCUUGAUCAGGUUCAGACUGUUCUUUGUUGUCAAUGUCUGCCACGUUGUUAAGAACUCCAAAUAUCGGUGGCUAGCACAGGGAGCCAGAUGGUCCUAUUUUCAGUUAUUCUCUGUCUGAAAAAUGUCUUUAUUCUAGUUUAGCACCAAAUUAAUAGU